rnacentral:rRNA from 1 species
ACGCUAGCUACAGGCUUAACACAUGCAAGUCGAGGGGAAACGGCAUUUAGUGCUUGCACUGAAUGGACGUUGACCGGCGCACGGGUGAGUAACGCGUAUCCAACCUUCCCAUUACUUUGGGAUAACCUGCCGAAAGGCAGACUAAUACCUCAUAGUCUUCGAUGACGGCAUCAGAUUUGAAGUAAAGAUUUAUCGGUAAUGGAUGGGGAUGCGUCUGAUUAGCUUGUUGGCGGGGUAACGGCCCACCAAGGCAACGAUCAGUAGGGGUUCUGAGAGGAAGGUCCCCCACAUUGGAACUGAGACACGGUCCAAACUCCUACGGGAGGCAGCAGUGAGGAAUAUUGGUCAAUGGACGUAAGUCUGAACCAGCCAAGUAGCGUGCAGGAUGACGGCCCUAUGGGUUGUAAACUGCUUUUGUAUGGGGAUAAAGUCAAUCACGUGUGAUUGUUUGCAGGUACCAUACGAAUAAGGACCGGCUAAUUCCGUGCCAGCAGCCGCGGUAAUACGGAAGGUUCGGGCGUUAUCCGGAUUUAUUGGGUUUAAAGGGAGCGUAGGCCGGAGAUUAAGUGUGUUGUGAAAUGUAGACGCUCAACGUCUGAAUUGCAGCGCAUACUGGUUUCCUUGAGUACGCACAACGUUGGCGGAAUUCGUCGUGUAGCGGUGAAAUGCUUAGAUAUGACGAAGAACUCCGAUUGCGAAGGCAGCUGACGGGAGCGCAACUGACGCUGAAGCUCGAAGGUGCGGGUAUCGAACAGGAUUAGAUACCCUGGUAGUCCGCACAGUAAACGAUGGAUGCCCGCUGUUGGUACCUAGUAUCAGCGGCUAAGCGAAAGCAUUAAGCAUCCCACCUGGGGAGUACGCCGGCAACGGUGAAACUCAAAGGAAUUGACGGGGGCCCGCACAAGCGG